rnacentral:tRNA from 1 species
GGGGUUGUGGCUCAGUGACAGAGCACUUGUCUUGCACGCAUGAGGCACUGAGUUCAAUCCUCAGCGUCACAU